GACAGAGGGGGCAAGCGUUGCUCGGAAUUACUGGGCGUAAAGGGCGCGUAGGCGGGAUGGCAAGUCGGUCGUGAAAUCCCUCGGCUCAACCGAGGAACGUCGAUCGAUACUGCUGUUCUUGAGGAUUGCAGAGGAGACUGGAAUUCCCGGUGUAGCGGUGAAAUGCGUAGAGAUCCGGAGGAAGACCGGUGGCGAAGGCGGCCUGCUGGGCAGUUACUGACACUGAGGCGCGACAGCGUGGGGAGCAAACAGG
rnacentral:rRNA from 1 species